UACGUAGGGUGCAAGCGUUGUCCGGAAUUAUUGGGCGUAAAGAGCUCGUAGGCGGUCUGUCGCGUCUGCUGUGAAAACUCGAGGCUUAACCUCGAGACGUCGGUGGAAACUGCCUGGCUAGAGUCCGGAAGAGGAGAGUGGAAUUCCUGGUGUAGCGGUGAAAUGCGCAGAUAUCAGGAAGAACACCCGUGGCUAAGGCGGCUCUCUAGUACGGUACUGACGCUGAGACGCGAAAGCGUGGGGAGCGAACAGG
rnacentral:rRNA from 1 species